GUCCGGAGGCCCCUCCGGGGAAGAAGCCGUCUGAGGGGCUCCGUUUUCAGGCCUUUCUCUUGGAGGGCUCUCCUUGUCAUCCUCACUUUCGAAUCCUGCAGGGAGAGAAAAAGAAAGGGAGUAUUGUUUCCUCUGCGCUGCAUCCCAGCCAAGGAAGAGCCAGCCUUGGGAGUCCUUGGUGCAGUGUUCUGCACACAGGAAUAAAUAUGAAUUAGUUACUACCUGUCUAAGGAGAAAAAAACAGAAUCAGAACUGAAUCUGGUGACCCUGGGAAAGCCAAGCCCUUAACAUGACUGAAUAGCACUGAGGAGCCCAUAAAUUAGCCAGAUGGGAGGUGAUAAGGCAAAGGACUUGAAUAGACAUUUAUCCAAAGAAGAUGGCCAACAAGCACAUGAAAAGAUACUCAACGUCACUGAUCAUUAGGGAAAUGCAAAUUGAAACCAGGAUGGCAGAUUCUCAAAAAAGGAUCCAGCAAUUCCUACUGAUGUGUAUAAACCUCAAAGAACUGAAGGCAAGAGAUAUGUAAACACCCAUAUUCACAGAAGCAUUCACAACAGUCAAGGGACAAUAGUCCAGGUGUCCAUUGACAGAUUAAUGGAUAAAUAAAAUGUGGCAUUUACAUGAGUGGAAUAUUAUUCAGCCUUGAAAAGGAAGUUCUGAUCCAUGCUACAAUUUGG